AGAAUGAAUACUAAACUUUUAAAUCUAAGACAAUGAAAUCAUGUUUAGUGAAAGUAAUCUUAAGUUUAUUUCAAUAAGUAUUUAAUAAAGAAAUUUUGUAAGAGGUAAUAGGUAAUAAGUACUGUAAAGGAAAGUUGAAAUAUUUGAAAAAGCUAAUUCUAUAAAAGUAUAUAUUAAAUGUAGUACCUUGUGUUUCAGGGGACUUAAAUUUUUUGUCUUUAAUUUAGGCUUUCCCGAAGUUUGGCGAGCUAAUUUAUUGUUAAUGGUUAACGUGGCAUAGUUAUUAUAAAUAAUUUAUUAGAAGUGAAAUUCUAUACGCGCCGAUAUGUAUCUGGUUUUUUAAUAAAUAAAUUUAAUUUAGCUUUUAGUGAUCAUGUGAACCUAAGAAGUAAAAACAGGAGGGAAAAGCUUCUUGUUUAAUAAUAAAUUUUUUAUGGGUAAUUUAAAAUAUCUUAUUUAACUAGGCUUAAGAUCAGUCAGGUUUUAAAAUCGUUAUAGAUUAUUUGGUAAAUUUGUUAAUAUUUAAAAUUGCUCUAGUUGGUUAUUAAAAAAUCUGGAUUAAUAAUUGACCUAUAGGUAUAAUUAAGUUAUUAGUAAAAAUAGCUUGUAAUAAUAAAAACUACUGGAUUUGGGUUUAUACUAUGUUAAGUUUUAAAUUGUAUUAAGGAACUCGGCAAUAAUCCUUUCUGCCUGUUUAUCAAAAACAUGUCCAUACGGUAAAAUGAUUUGUAUGGUCUGGCCUGCCCACUGAUAUUUAAAAUUAAAGGGCCGCGGUAUUCUGACCGUGCGAAGGUAGCAUAAUAAUUAGUCUCCUAAUUAGAGGCUUGUAUGAAUGGUCGGACAAGAUAGGGACUGUCUCAGUGCAAAAAAUGUAAAUUAAUAUUUAAGUAAAAAAGCUUAAAUGGUAUGGAGGGACGAUAAGACCCUAUAAAGCUUUAUAAUGGAUUCUUGUUAUAUAAAUUAUUAAUUGUUAACAUAUUAAAAGAAUAAUAUUAUUUUACUGGGGCGGUAAAAGUAUAUAUUUGAGUAACUGCUUUUGUUUUUUAAAACAGUAAUGACUGAUUAAUUAAUUGAUCCACUAAUAGUGAGCAUAAGAACAAGUUACUUUAGGGAUAACAGCGUAAUUUUUCUUGAGAGUUCUUAUCGAAAGUAAAGUUUGCGACCUCGAUGUUGAAUUAAGGAAGCCUUAAGGUGCAGCAGUUUUAGUAGGCAGAUCUGUUCGAUCUUUAAAUCCUUACAUGAUUUGAGUUCAGACCGGCGUGAGCCAGGUUGGUUUCUAUCUUCCAUAUUAUUGUAGUAACUUAUUUUAGUACGAAAGGAUUUAGUAAGUCAAAUAUUUUGUCUGGUCUUGAAAUUCAUUAAGUUG
rnacentral:rRNA from 1 species